GCGCUUUGGUGGUGGUGUUAAAAUGAGUGACAGCAGCAGAUAAUUGAGAAUUUUGCUUGCAUGUACUGUAGAACUGCAUGUUAAGGAGUGAAGAGGCAGCAAGCCUAUAUUUCUUUAACAAAUGGCACCGGCGUUAUAUUCUGUUACAUCCUCUGCACGCAACUCUGUGAAAAAGACCACCAUUAUUCCUUUUACACGGAAUCCCUUUAUCAUCAUACCCACGUUACUGUGAUGGCUGAAAAUUGUUAGCUAACAUUAAGAUCCAUUGAAGAACACUUUAUCGGUCAUUCCCCUCUGGAACGUCUGAAAAAGUAGCCUUAUGGUUUCCUUUGUUUUCUACUUAAGUUGGAAUUAUGAAGAAAUUCUGCAAGGGAGACUGAAAAGCUUUCCAGAGCACAAAGCUUGGGUGCGUUGAACUAGCUGUAAAAAGAUGUAGAUUCUGUUUUGAAGAAGAACCUGUUUAAAUAGAACUGCUGUAUAUUCGUGUUGGCGAGUACAAAGCUAACUGCUUUUGUUCUUGUGUUUUGUAAGCUGAAUACAGAGAUCGUUAUGUUAUCUCUUGUGAUGUAGGUGAGACCUCACGUGUUUCAGUAGCGACAUCUCCUUUUUUUUAUUCUAAUUCUCUAGAGUCUGUCAAGAUUUCCCAUAACAGUCUUCUGUUCUGCUCCAACUGCCUAUCGAAUGUUGGUGCAACAUAGACUGUCCAGCUACAAAUUCAGAAGCCUGCGGCACUGUGUGAGUGCCGGGGAGCCAAUCAACCCUGAAGUGAUGGGA